GGGGGCGACAGGUUUCGACGGCGCGUGGAGUGCCUGACAGAGCAGGUCGAGUUACGUCCGUAAUCCUCGUUAAACAUUCGGGCAGACGAAUAAACGUCGAUAACGAUUACGCAUUGGCGGCUUAGGCCUGCCACGUCGAAGGAUGAGCUCGUCUGUUGGCUCGCCGGAGACGUCAUUUUAGACAGAUGCUUCGCUCACAGUCGGAUCUUGCUGGAGUGAAAAAGACAAGAGGUCUUGGAAAAAGGAAGGCCGUUUUCUGCCUCACCUUUGACGACAAUUAAAAGAAAACUAAGCCUGUAGCGCUGUCACGCUGGCCCACGUCGGACGGGGGUUCAAUUCCCCCCGCCUCCACCA
rnacentral:tmRNA from 1 species